rnacentral:rRNA from 1 species
AUACGGAGGAUCCGAGCGUUAUCCGGAUUUAUUGGGUUUAAAGGGUGCGCAGGCGGGAGAUUAAGUCGGCGGUGAAAUUUUGCAGCUCAACUGUAAAAGGGCCUUCGAAACUGGUUUCCUUGAGUGUAAAUGCAGGAGGCGGAAUUUGUGGUGUAGCGGUGAAAUGCAUAGAUAUCACGAGGAACUCCGAUUGCGCAGGCAGCUUACUAAACUACUACUGACGCUCAGGCACGAAGGCGUGGGGAUCAAACAGGAUUAGAUACCCUGGUAGUCCACGCAGUAAACGAUGAUUACUAGCUGUUUGCGAUACAAUGUAAGCGGCUGAGCGAAAGCGUUAAGUAAUCCACCUGGGGAGUACGUUCGCAAGAAUGAAACUCAAAUGAAUUGACGGGG